rnacentral:rRNA from 1 species
CCUAAAAUGGUGAAACCGCGAACGGCUCAUUACAACAGCUACUAUUCGCUUGAUGUUGUUGUCCUACAUGGAUAACUGUGGUAAUUCUAGAGCUAAUACAUGCACCAAAGCUCCGAUUUUUGACGAGCGCAUCUAUUAGAACAAAACCAAUCGGGUCGACUUGUCGGCCCGUGGUUCGGUGACUCUGAAUAACUGAGGCUGAUCGCACGGUCCAGCACCGGCGACAUGUCUAUCAAGUAUCUGCCUUAUCAACUGUCGAUGGUAGUUUACGUGCCUACCAUGGUUGUAACGGGUAACGGAGAAUAAGGGUUCGACUCCGGAGAGGGAGCCUGAGAAACGGCUACCACAUCCAAGGAAGGCAGCAGGCGCGCAAAUUACCCACUCUCAGCACGAGGAGGUAGUGACGAAAAAUAACGGGACCGUUCUCUAUGAGGCCGGUUAUCGCAAUGGGUACAAUCUAAACCCUUUAACGAGGAUCUAUGAGAGGGCAAGUCUGGUGCCAGCAGCCGCGGUAAUUCCAGCUCUCAAAGUGUAUAUCGUCAUUGCUGCGGUUAAAAAGCUCGUAGUUGGAUCUGCGCCCGAGGACCCGGUCCGCCCACUGGGCGUGAACUGGGCUCCGAGGCUAAUUGUGCUGAUCGUCCCUUCGUUGCCUUCACCGGUUGCGUUGGGUGGUUAGCGAGUUUACUUUGAAAAAAUUAGAGUGCUUCAAACAGGCUAGCGCCUGCAUAUUUGUGCAUGGAAUAAUGGAAUAGGAUCUCGGUUCUAUUUUGUUGGUUUUCAGAGCGGAGAUAAUGGUUAAGAGGGACGGACGGGGGCAUUCGUAUCGCUGCGGAGAGGUGAAAUUCU